rnacentral:rRNA from 1 species
GAUGAACGCUAGCGGCAGGCCUAACACAUGCAAGUCGAGGGGUAGAGAUUGCUUGCGAUCUUGAGACCGGCGCACGGGUGCGUGACGCGUAUACAAUCUGCCUCUUACUGCGGGAUAGCCCAGGGAAACUUGGAUUAACACCGCAUAGCAUAGUGUUCCGGCAUCGGGACGUUAUUAAAGGUUACGGUAAGAGAUGAGUAUGCGUCCUAUUAGCUAGUUGGUAAGGUAACGGCUUACCAAGGCAACGAUAGGUAGGGGCCCUGAGAGGGGGAGUCCCCACACUGGUACGUGAGACACGGACCAGACUCCUACGGAGGCGAGCAGUGAGGAAGUAUUAGGUACGAAUAGG